AUUGAACGCUGGCGGCAGGCCUAACACAUGCAAGUCGAGCGGGGUUUUCGGACCUAGCGGCGGACGGGUGAGUAGUGCGUAGGAAGCUACCCGAUAGAGGGGGAUACCAGUUGGAAACGACUGUUAAUACCGCAUAAUGUCUACGGACCAAAGUGUGGGACCUUCGGGCCACAUGCUAUCGGAUGCGCCUACGUGGGAUUAGCUAGUUGGUGGGGUAAUGGCUCACCAAGGCGACGAUCCCUAGCUGGUUUGAGAGGACGAUCAGCCACACUGGAACUGAGACACGGUCCAGACUCCGACGGGAGGCAGCAGUGGGGAAUAUUGGACAAUGGGCGCAAGCCUGAUCCAGCCAUGCCGCGUGUGUGAAGAAGGCCUUCGGGUUGUAAAGCACUUUCAGUAGGGAGGAAGAGUUGAGUGUUAAUAGUACUCAGCUUUGACGUUACCUACAGAAGAAGCACCGGCUAACUCUGUGCCAGCAGCCGCCGUAAAAC
rnacentral:rRNA from 1 species